CGGCCGCUUCUGCUGGCCGAACUGCUGCCGCCGCCGGGCGGACGGGCGGACGCGCAAAGCCGGGGGCGGGCGCGGCGGGGCGGACCGGCCCCGAUGAGGCGCAAAGAGAAGCGGCUCUUGCAGGCGGUGGCGCUGGCUCUGGCGGCCCUUGUCCUGCUGCCCAACGUGGGGCUCUGGGCUCUGUACCGCGAGCGGCAGCCGGACGGCAGUCCUGGGGGAUCCGGGGCGGCGGUGGCCCCGGAGGCGAUACAGGCUCCUCUAUCUGGAUACUUGAUCUACAGCUGGCGGUGCCGCUCGGGAAGGUUGGAGGUAGAGACUUGCUGGAGGAAAUGCACCAGUGGGAGCAAGCUUUGUAGCCCAGAUGUCUUCAUGCCACUUCCUGCUGAUUCCGGAGAUACAGUGUGAGCCGCCAGCCUCCUGCUCUUGCCUGUCUGCCUUCC
rnacentral:lncRNA from 1 species